UACGUAGGGGGCAAGCGUUGUCCGGAUUUAUUGGGUUUAAAGGGUGCGUAGGCGGUCUUCUAAGUCAGUUGUGAAAUACUUCAGCUUAACUGGAGAGGUGCAAUUGAUACUGGAAGACUUGAGUACUGAUGAGGUAGGCGGAAUUGACGGUGUAGCGGUGAAAUGCUUAGAUAUCGUCCAGAACACCGAUAGCGAAGGCAGCUUACUAAGGAGUAACUGACGCUGAGGCACGAAAGUGUGGGGAUCAAACAGG
rnacentral:rRNA from 1 species